rnacentral:sRNA from 1 species
UACGCAAUAUGACACCUGUUGUGUGUCCC